rnacentral:rRNA from 1 species
AUUGAACGCUGGCGGCAGGCUUAACACAUGCAAGUCGAGCGGAGAUGAGGUGCUUGCACCUUAUCUUAGCGGCGGACGGGUGAGUAAUGCUUAGGAAUCUGCCUAUUAGUGGGGGACGACAUUCCGAAAGGAAUGCUGAUACCGCAUACGUCCUACGGGAGAAAGCAGGGGAUCUUCGGACCUUGCGCUAAUAGAUGAGCCUAAGUCGGAUUAGCUAGUUGGUGGGGUAAAGGCCUACCAAGGCGACGAUCUGUAGCGGGUCUGAGAGGAUGAUCCGCCACACUGGGACUGAGACACGGCCCAGACUCCUACGGGAGGCAGCAGUGGGGAAUAUUGGACAAUGGGGGGAACCCUGAUCCAGCCAUGCCGCGUGUGUGAAGAAGGCCUUAUGGUUGUAAAGCACUCUAAGCGAGGAGGAGGCUACUGAGACUAAUACUCUUGGAUAGUGGACGUUACUCGCAGAAUAAGCACCGGCUAACUCUGUGCCAGCAGCCGCGGUAAAAC